ACGCUGCACUUUUCUUCUUCUCCAUGCCCGAAGCGUUUCCAUGGAAGGGGGUUUAGGUUUCAAUUUUUUUUCUUUGAUUUCUCUCUACACAAGAAUCCAAAUCAAAAAGUCUAAUACACAAAAUUUAUAGGAAAUCACUCAAGGAAUCCAUUCCACCACUCUAUUUGGGCUGAUUUUGCUUGUGGAGGAAGUUCUUCCUCACCCUCCUUUCGUUUCACUAUUCAUCAAGGAAGGAAAAUGAAAAUUUUGAUGGAGCCUUGCUUGGAAGUUGCUCUCUAGACCUUGUACAAGCUAUUAGAGGUGUACCUAGGGACUGAAAAGGAUCAGAAUCUCUUGAAGAUAUAUAAGUAACUUGUGCCACAAGUAAGCGGAUUGAAAAAAAAAAGCUUCAAGAGGAACACAGUUAAUUGAAGAGCCUCAUGGGACAAGGACACAAACUGUGGCUAGAGGUACUAGUAUGAGGAUGUGGAGUUCUGGGUGGCUGGAGGCUACUAUUUCUUUUAGACGUAUUUUUGAAAAAGAUGUAUUGUUGUAUAAUGUUCAUAUUCGAUGCAUGUACAUUUGUGUAUUCAGAUAUGUGCAUGUGCUGAAAUACGUAUGCUGUUAGACAUAGUGGCACAAAGCUAAGUUAUGCAUGCGCCCAUGAAUGGAUAUAUGAUUUUAUUUUGGA